CCUACGGGAGGCAGCAGUGGGGAAUAUUGCACAAUGGGGGAAACCCUGAUGCAGCAACGCCGCGUGAGUGAAGAAGUAUUUCGGCGCGUAAAGCUCUAUCAGCAGGGAAGAGAAAGGAGGUAACUGACUAAGAAGCCCCGGCCAACUACGUGCCAGCAACCGCGGUAAUACGUAGGGGGCGAGCGUUAUCCGGAUUUACUGGGGGUUAAGGGGGCGUAGACGGCCAUGCAAGCCAGGGGUGAAAGCCCGGGGCCCAACCCCGGGACUGCCCUUGGAACUGCCUGGCUGGAAUGCAGGAGGGGCAGGCGGAAUUCCUGGUGUAGCGGUGAAAUGCGUAGAUAUCAGGAGGAACACCGGCGGCGAAGGCGGCCUGCUGGACCGCGACUGACGUUGAGGCUCGAAAGCGUGGGGAGCGAACAGGAUUAGAUACCCCUGUAGUC
rnacentral:rRNA from 1 species